AUUCAUGAAAUACCGUUUUAUCAUUUAUUGAACUUUAAAACCGUGAUAGGAAAUAGGGUGAGGGGUCCUUACUCGUUUCGGGGUCCGAACACAGCUUCACAGUGCGCUUGCAGGCUGUCCCUAAUUUUCCCUGAAUUUUCCUCGGGGAACUGAAACGCACUACUGGUACCUGCACGUUUUCCAAAAAAAAUCCCAAAUUAGGCCCAGGGCCCCUUUCGGCCCUAAUCGCAACUCCGGCACGGCGGCGAGUCGCCUCGGGUUGGCUGUUUUCGGCUGUUU
rnacentral:lncRNA from 1 species